UGGGAAGUUGACUAAUGGUAAGUCCGUAUGUUUUGAUCAUACUCAUGGAAGUUCGAUUCUUCCCUUCCCAG